UACGGAGGGUGCAAGCGUUAUCCGGAUUCACUGGGGUUAAAGGGUGCGUAGGAGGACUGGUAAGUCAGUGGUGAAAUCCCCGAGCUUAACUUGGGAACUGCCGUUGAUACUAUCAGUCUUGAAUACCGUGGAGGUGAGCGGAAUAUGUCAUGUAGCGGUGAAAUGCUUAGAUAUGACAUAGAACACCAAUUGCGAAGGCAGCUCGCUACACGAAUAUUGACUCUGAGGCACGAAAGCGUGGGGAUCAAACAGG
rnacentral:rRNA from 1 species